GUACAUCCUUAUCUUUCCUCUAAAUUACUCUUUAUUCCCAUUAAAAUCCACCUAUCCCGGGUCCUCUCUCCUCAGCCCUUCACCUCUGCUUUCAAAGAUGACUAACUAACCUAAUAAACACAUCUAAGGUGAUGUGUCAACUUCAACCCCAACCCUUUUUCCCCAGAUAACUUGUCUGCAUUUCAAGAACAACCUACCAGAGACCUUACCUGUCACCUUGGCUCUCCCACCCAAUGGAGAUGGCUCUAAUGGUAAGGAAUUCUAUCUUAAGUAAAAGGGAAGGGAAACACGCUGACAGAUGCAGUUUUUAUAAAGGCAGGUCAUUGGGGCACCAAGUUGGCAGCCGCUUUCAACUUUUGAUUCUACCUCAAAAGGUAACCAAGAAAUCGUUGUUAUUCUAAAGAUUAUGACAAGUCCAAAGUUUCACAGAAUCCUGAUUUUUAUACACUUGCAUUAAUCACUGCUUACUUCCAUGAUGUAAACCAAAACUGCAGCGGCAGAAUAUAGAGAAUCAGAAUAAAUUCUGAUAGAAAAGGCAGAUACUGUUUCCACAUAUACAAGUAUAUGCUAAUUGCUUUUAGCAAACUGAUCCAAAUAGGAAUCAACAUUAUUCCAUCUUAAUGAUUAUGUUUUUGAUUGGUACACAUAAAUGUUAAAGUGGGAAAAUAUGCAGAGAAAGUUACCUAAACUAAAUCACUUUAAUUUUCAACAACAUAAUUACAUUCCAUUUCACCUACUAAAAUGGCUUUGGACCUAGAAUUUGUAUUGCUACAUCAAUAUAAGAUGACUUUCAGUAAAAAUAGAUGUACAGUUGAUUUGUAACAACAAAUUAAUAGUUUUAAAUUAUUUGUAUAUUUCAAGGUAAAUAAAAUUAGAGCUAUCCCACAAUCGCUUUGGUUAUGAAAUUCGACCACUGUAACUUUUUUUAAAGAAAACUUUAUGGUGUGCAGUUCCUUUGGUAUGCAAAUAUUAAAUGGUUGGUGCUGAGAAUAAGCAGCAAUAUAGAAAUAUAUAUAAUUGUAGAAGAAUAUAACCUAUGAUUUAGACAUAAAAUGAGAUCCUUACAAGAUAAAGAGUUAUGGAGAUGGAUGAUAAUGAUAGUUGUAGAACAUUAUGACUAAGUGUUUAAUAUAGCGGACCUGUACACUUAAAAAUGGUGAAGAUGUUAAACUUACAUUAUGUUUACAUUACAUAUUUCACCACAAUAAAAAAUUUUUGAAGGAAAACCAGAACUUUAAUGACAAACUUAGGACAUAUUAUGCUCUGAAUAUAUAGUUUUGAUAACGUCUUUCCUGGCAAAUCAACAAGGUAAGAAUAAAAGGAUAUUCUGAAAUCUUUUUUUUUCUUUGGAGACAGAGUCUUGCUCUGUUGCCCAGGCUGGAGUGCAGUGGCACAAUCUCGGCUCACUACUACCUUCUGCCUCCCAGGUUCAAGUGAUCCUCCUGCCUCAGCCUCCUGAGUAGCUGGGAUUAUAGGCGUGCGCCACCACGCCUAGCUAAUUUUUUUGUAUUUUUAGUAGAGACGGGGUUUUACCAUGUUGGUCACGCUGGUCUCAAACUCCUGACCUCAUGAUCCGCCCACCUCGGCCUCCCAAAAUGCUAGGAUUACAGGCAUGAGACACCACACCCAGCCAGAUAUUCUUAAAUCUUAUGCUCACACUCCACCCCCCCCAAAAAAAUUGUCCUUCAGGAAAGCAUAAUUUAAGGAAAAAUUUCCCAAAGUGCCACCUUCAGCUUCAUUCUUAGCACCAGAGGAAGAAUUGCCUGUCAUAUAAUGAAAGAUCCUUGGUGUUAUCAUUAAUCUAGUAUACAUAGUGCUUCCUCUUGGUAGAUUUUUACCUACUGUGAGAAGGAAUGAUUUUGAUACUCAGACAGUGUGUAGUAAUUUGUUAAGAACAUUUAACUUGGAACCUAUGCUACACAGUAAAACUUAUACUGACAAUGGAUAUUUCAUGUGGUAGGCCUAAGAAGUAUUGUGGAGUGAGGGGACUGGAAGUAUAUCUGCAGAACUACCUAGUCAAAGACCCCAGUCUAAUUUCUAAUAUAUAAUUCAUAUAAAUUACUCUUGCAUUGCUAUACAUUAAACAUUAUGCUUGUCACAUUCUUACUUGGUUAGCACUGUCACUACUGAUUGUCAGGCCUAUAAUUGUGUAUAAUUCUUCCCCUGCCACUUUACCAGCUGGUGGCCACACCGAUUCCAGAAAGAACUACUUUAUUUCUUAUUACCUCAUGAAAGCACCCUCUGCCCAGUGCCUUGGCUAAUAGACUGGCCUUUGUUGUCUAUGACCACUAAUUCCCACUCAGGCAUAUAGCAAUUCUGUUGUUGGUUGCUUAGCCCAGUCAAAAACACUGGAAGUGGACAUAGACUCCACACUGAUGAAUGAAUGACCUUCUAGUCAUUCUAAUGUCCUUAAAAGUCUACUAUUUUUAAAUUGUAGAAUAUAUAUAUAUAUAUAUAUAUUUUUUUUUUUUUCUGGGAUAUUUCUCCUUUCUUCUGUUCAUUAAUGUUUUUCAUCUAUCAUUGUGUUUUAAAUAUGACCUAAGGUUCUAUAGUAUAUUUAGACAAACUUCUCAUUUCUCUGCAGUGUUCGGAAUUCAUCAUGCCUGUAUGACAAGGUUGUGUUUGAGAACAAAAGGGGACCUGUGUGACAUGUUUUAUUUCAAUAUACAUUUAGAGUUUGAACAAAUAAAAAAAGCUAUUAGAAUUUUUAAUAUAUAUAACACAUUAUCAAAAACACUGUCACUUUUCUGAGUGCUCUAAUCAGGCAAUUCGUAUGUAUAUUUAAAAAGAGGGAAAAAGCUAAUUAGUAUACUAAAUAUAUUUAUUUUAAUACCUGUGCUCAUAUGUUAUCUUUAAAGAACAGGAAUAAAAUUUAUGGGUAGAAUAGUAUGCCAGCAAUUUACCUUCAAUACAAAUUAAACACAUCUUUUAAGAAAAGGGCGAGUUAUAUUGGCUGGGGUGGCACUAACACUACAUUAUUAAUAUGUAUUUAUUGAGCAUUUACUGUGUCCAGGACCCUGUAAGGGGGAAAAAAAGUCCUUGUUUUUACAAUCUUUAUUGACUGAAAUUCUGUAAAAUGAAUUGAAUUCCUGAAGUGACAUCAUUUAACCCAAAUUUUUUCAUCAUCAACUAAUUCAUCUCAGAAAACAGUAAAGUUUAAAAAAAAAUACUAUCAGUAAGAAUAAUAUAUUUCCUUGGUUUGGAAAUUUCCAAACCACGAUAUUCUGCCCUGUCAAAAUAUAUUCACUGGGGAAUUUUUUACUUCAUACGUUUCUUUUGAACUUAGUCACAUUUUUAUAUCUAGCUGGUUUCAUUAUUAAAUAAAAGAAAAGGUGAUUCCCCUCUUGUACUGCAGGAGACCACAUACUUGAAUGAUACUCUAACUUCUAGGUUCUGUUAUAGUAACACUGAAAUCAGAAACCUGUGGGAGAAAUGUCACUUUAUCUGAGAGAGUAAAAUCAGACUCUAAAAGGAAGUAGCAAAUUCAUCUUGUUCUUUUUUUUAAUCAACCCUCUGCCUAAGACAAGUAGUUUGAAACACAGAGGACUCUUUAAGUCAUACUUCCUUUAUGUAGUCAAAACCAAAGCCACUGGGUAGUGCUUUCCCCAAAGGAAUCUCUAAAUAGUAGACGGGGACAUUUUCAGAUAGAUUCGUUUGUAGGCAAACCUCCAUUGCUUGUAUCACAUUUCCUGAAAGAAUAAAGGUAAAACUUCAACUAUGUAUUACAGAAAGAAAAAUUCAGCCUGAACCCUACCCUUAUAAAACAGGUUAAUUGGGUUUUAAUUUUCAUAAAUCAUAAAGGACUAUUUUGAACAUUUGGGCCUUUAAUUGUCUAGCUCCUAGAUGAAGUACAAAUCAGAAAAAAAAAAAACUGUACUGUGUCAGAAUGCAAGCUUUCCUCUUUGCAUUUUGGCAUUUGAAAACUCCGAAGAGCGGUUUUUGUUUUUUAUUUAAAGAAGAUGAUACAUAUGUGUACCCGAUUCAAAACUAGAGAAUAGAAUUUAAAACAUAAUUUUCAAAGUCUUCAAAUAUGCCUAAAGGUAACAAUGUCAUCUUUUAAUUGCCAAUUUCUCUACCACUUUCAAAAAAUUACUUCCAAGGAUUUAAUGAGCUCCUUCCUUUCAACAGAAAAUGGACUAUUUUCCUUUCAGAUUUACUAUAUGCUGUCACUCCAGCUUUAUAACCGCAUGUGCAUACACAAACAUUUCUUUCUCUCUUGCAGGUGGCACAAACCAGGAAGGGGAAAUCUGUGGUUUAAAUUCUUUAUGCCUCAUCCUCUGAGUGCUGAAGGCUUGCUGUAGGCUGUAUGCUGUUAAUGCUAAUCGUGAUAGGGGUUUUUGCCUCCAACUGACUCCUACAUAUUAGCAUUAACAGUGUAUGAUGCCUGUUACUAGCAUUCACAUGGAACAAAUUGCUGCCGUGGGAGGAUGACAAAGAAGCAUGAGUCACCCUGCUGGAUAAACUUAGACUUCAGGCUUUAUCAUUUUUCAAUCUGUUAAUCAUAAUCUGGUCACUGGGAUGUUCAACCUUAAACUAAGUUUUGAAAGUAAGGUUAUUUAAAAGAUUUAUCAGUAGUAUCCUAAAUGCAAACAUUUUCAUUUAAAUGUCAAGCCCAUGUUUGUUUUUAUCAUUAACAGAAAAUAUAUUCAUGUCAUUCUUAAUUGCAGG
rnacentral:lncRNA from 1 species